AAAAACUAAAGACAAUGACGAACAAGCUCAACACUGCAUGAUUGUUCCAGCAGAAUCAAGGACGCCCCGGCUCAUGGAGAAAGAAUACAUCGAAGAUACUCUAGGAGGUGGGUAAAAGAUUCAGUGCUGUUGUAUCAUGGGUACGCUUCCCAGCACUGAGUUACUUGCAGAGGGAGCGCCUUCGAAGGAGAAUCCCUCCAAUAGAGCAAGAGAUAUACGUCGAAUAGAGCACAAUCCUCUACUGCCGUAUACACUCUUUCAAAAGAAAGGGGCUAAACCCUUGAGAGUAAUACAGCACAUAUGGAGCUUCUGACGAUUGUGACGAAUAAGCCGAACAGGUGAGUUUGGCCAAGUCGGCAAUUAUGCCCUCUGCCGAAUAAGCAUAAUGAAAAUUUGUUUUUACCAUAAAUUUGCGAAAAUCAAUCUGACCAUAAUGAAAAAAUAUAUAUAUAUUAUUUAUUUUAAGCAAUAUUAAGUACAUUUUAAUUUACCUUUGAUACGUAUAGUAAAAUCUAGCUAAAAAAAUACGUUAGUUUUAGUUUGGUUAAGUGAGAUUUUUAAGUUAGUUUUGAUCCAAAAGUAAAAAUCUCUAUCAUUGUCAACAAAAAAAUCAUAUAUCAUUAUGUAAUUUUUUUUUUUGAAAAGUCUCAUUUUUAAGGAAGUUCGACCUUUUCGAGAGCAAGUUCGGAUCACCAGAUCCAGACUACACACUCACCAGGUCGACACUACACUCUCACCAGGUCCAAACUACACUCACUAGGUCCACACUACACUCUCACCAGGUCCACACUACACUCUCACCAGGUCCACACUACACACUCACCAGGUCCAAACUACACUAUCACCUGGCCCAGACUACUCUCUCACCAGGUUCAGACUACACUCUCACCAGGUCCACACUGCACUCUCACC